UCUUAAUGAUGAAAUGCGAGGAAAAGCUCCGAUAACGAUUUGAUCGCAGAAACUGUAUCGUUUUAAUGACAUCUCGACAAUAGCCUACGUUUCACUCCAAGAAAAUUAUAUGAGGGAUAAUUAAAAGGAAACAAUAAGUCUAUGCAGGGAGUGUGCAAGCAAGCAAUGACCAAAGUUCAGACGUAUUUACAGAUUCACAGAUUUCCUGAAUCAACAACUCAACCGACGCAAGCGAAGUGUUGCGUUGUCCUUGAAAAUCUGUCGUGAUUUUAUUCGUUAUGAGAAUAGUAACACCUGCAAUUUAACAUGGACGGGUUGUUCAUGGAUAAGGGAGACGCCUUGAGACACCAGCAACUUGGUCUCACUGUCUCUGUUUAUGUAUGUGUCUUGGUAGCGAUUGUCAUUCUCGCUGCUGUAGUCUACAUGCCCCCAAGACAUUGCCAAAGGAGGAACCGGGAUGAAGAACUACUCUCACUCACUGCUCACAGGAUUUCAUAGUUUCGAAUAUCUCCAUGUAUGAUUAAUAUUGUUAAAAAGAAACAAACAUAUUUUCUUAGAAAGGUCUGUGAUAUUUUAAUCGCCAUAGCCUAACAUCUCUAGGGUAGGCUAUUAUUGCAUAAAGGCUCGCCUAUGCCUAUUUGUUGGCAUGUCUUCACUGACAUCAAAACAAAAAUGACUUGCCUAUCAACAAGUUGAUUUUGUAUCAUUCAAAGAGGUAAUCAUGAGGAUGAACAAUAUUCGUAUGUUCUUAUAAGUAGCCUAAUUGCUGUAAACGUAUCAUAUUGCAGUGUGCAUUUGUCGUGAGUGACCAGAAGAGGGUAGUAACACCAUUCUCAAAACAAUAGUCCUUGGAUCAGACUUCUGUAUGUAGCCUAUGUGCUGUGUGUCCAUUGUUGCUUUGGUCACUGCACUGCCCACUUGCAACAAUAGCCUACGUAACGAAUAUAACACUUGCAACAAUACGAAUGUAACGAAUUUUGCAGAAGUUAUCAGGUGAAAGGUGCAUGUAGUUUUGUAGCACUAUGGUGUUCAAAGCAAACAUGUUAUGAACAAAUGUAGGCUAAUUUCCCAUUCGUCUACAAAGACCCUUGAGUGAAGCACAGUCCUAAGGAUGACUGUAGAGUAAUUUAACAUUCACUUUCCUCGAGGAUUUGUCAGAUAGGCCUAUUCUGGUGCAUGAAGACUUUAAUGACUAAAUCUGUAAAUGCAAGGCAGAAAGUGACUAUAUAUUGAUUGAGAGCAAUGAAAGUUUUGUCACCAUGAACAUGUGUCAUUAUGAAUAAGUCAGUUGUUGUGACCAAUGUGUUUCAAUGUGAUCAUUGCUGUUUUGUCAUAUUCAAAAUUAAACAUCAUACUGCACAA